rnacentral:tRNA from 1 species
GCCUGGGUAGCUCAGUCAGUUGAGCAUCUGACUUCUGCUCAGGUCAUGAUCUCACGGUUUACGGGUUCGAGCCCCGCAUCGGGUU